ensembl:snRNA U6 U6 spliceosomal RNA
UUGCUCACUUUGGCAGCACAUAUACUAAAAUUGGAACGAUAGAGAGAAGAUUAGCAUGGCCCCUGUGCAAGGGUGACUCGCAAAAUCUUGAAGCGUUCCAUAUUAAA